rnacentral:rRNA from 1 species
CUUAGUUGAGACGUGAUAACGCAACACUCUUCGGAGUGCCAAGUGAGUGAUACCAUGCUUCCAGGAAAAGCCACUAAGCUUCAGUUGGAUGAAGACCGUACCGUAAACCGACACAGGUGGGUAGGAUGAGAAUUCUAAGGCGCUUGAGAGAACUCAGGAGAAGGAACUCGGCAAAAUAGCACCGUAACUUCGGGAAAAGGUGUGCCCUUUGUAUGUGUAGCGCCUCGCGCGUGAAGCAGAAUAGGGUUGCAAUGAAUUGGUGGCUGCGACUGUUUAAUAAAAACAUAGCACUCUGCAAACACGAAAGUGGACGUAUAGAGUGUGACGCCUGCCCGGUGCCGGAAGGUUAAAUGAUGGGGUGCAAGCUCUUGAUUGAAGCCCCGGUAAACGGCGGCCGUAACAAUAACGGUCCUAAGGUAGCGAAAUUCCUUGUCGGGUAAGUUCCGACCUGCACGAAUGGCGUAACGAUGGCCACACUGUCUCCUCCUGGGACUCAGCGAAGUUGAAAUGUUUGUGAAGAUGCAAUCUCCCCGCGGCUAGACGGAAAGACCCCGUGCACCUUUACUGUAGCUUUACAUUGGACUUUGAUAACAUUUGUGUAGGAUAGGUGGGAGGCUUUGAAGUGGAUUCGCUAGAAUUCAUGGAGCCGACGUUGAAAUACCACCCUGAUGUUGUCGGGGUUCUAACCUAGAUCCAUUAUCUGGAUUGGGGACCGUGUAUGGUAGGCAGUUUGACUGGGGCGGUCUCCUCCCAAAUUGUAACGGAGGAGUACGAAGGUACGCUAGGUACGGUCGGAAAUCGUGCUGAUAGUGCAAUGGCAAAAGCGUGCUUAACUGCGAGACUGACGAGUCGAGCAGAUGCGAAAGCAGGUCAUAGUGAUCCGGUGGUUCUGUAUGGAAGGGCCAUCGCUCAACGGAUAAAAGGUACGCCGGGGAUAACAGGCUGAUUCCUCCCAAGAGUUCAUAUCGACGGGGGAGUUUGGCACCUCGAUGUCGGCUCAUCACAUCCUGGGGCUGUAGCCGGUCCCAAGGGUAUGGCUGUUCGCCAUUUAAAGUGGUACGUGAGCUGGGUUUAAAACGUCGUGAGACAGUUUGGUCCCUAUCUGCCGUGGGCGUUGGAAGUUUGAGUGGACCUGCUCCUAGUACGAGAGGACCGGAGUGGACGCACCUCUGGUGUACCGGUUAUGACGCCAGUCGUAUCGCCGGGUAGCUAUGUGCGGAAGAGAUAACCGCUGAAAGCAUCUAAGCGGGAAACUCUCCUCAAGAUGAGACUUCCCGAGGGUC